UCACGAUCAGCAAUGAUCUUGGCAGGCUAAGAACGAGCCUGAGCAAGCGUCUGAGUAAAGUCCUUUCUUAUCUACAAUUCCAGCUCCACUAGACAAGGAGGGUGAAGGGAAAUUAAAGACACCUUCAGAGAACCAGAGUCCAGAGGAGCAAUUUACAAUCCGCUUCCCGAAAUCAGCUGAAAACUGACGGGAGUUCAGUUCGGCCACUCCUAAAUCUGGCUAUAUAAAUUAUUCACUAUAUCCUACUCCCUCCAUUCACCACCUUUCAGAUAAGACACGGAACCCAAAGAAUUCAAGGAUGGUGUGCCCACGUUCACACGGUUCCUAAGUGGCAAGAUGGGAAUUUGAAUAGAACCCGCCUGACAAAAGUCUGAAUUAACGCUCUUCUCCAAAAUGCCUAAAUGGAUGUGGUGUAGACAUGUGCAGAGACAGGAUGUUAGAAUAAAGCCUAGAAGAACAGAGAGAAAACAAGACUAGAAGAAUGUGAAAGCUGUCCUCCAUAGGUUCUGUCACUUCCCCGUGUGAUCAGCGCUCCGCCAGUCAACUCGGGUCGGCCAUGUACAGCCCAUCCCCAACCCCACAGCUCUUCCCCAACCUCUGGGAACCUCUGCCCCCCAACUGUGAGCACAGGGGAGGGAGUCCAGGUGGGUACCCACCUUUGACUCGGGGCUUCCCUCCCCCAGGAGACCCAACCAGCUCUCGCUGGAAUCCUGAGAGCUGGUGGAGCCAACAGCCAUCCUGUGGCCCCCUGGGGGCUGAGGAAGGGCCACCAUCACGAAGGCAGAGCUGGAAAUGAAGAUGUGUGUGACCCUCACCUGUGUGGAACCAGGGGUAGGCUGGACUCACAGUUGGAGAGCUCUUAAAUUCACACCCCUUUCCCUCUCCAACCAGACUGAGUGGGCAACGCCUUAGCAACUAAAAAACCAUUACAACUGCUCAACACACAGACAAGGAAAAUGCCCGUAUGAUGGAAUCAGAAGCAGUGAAAGCUGAAUUUAGGUUUUUGGUCCAUCUGCACUCUUAGAGAGGAGCAGAGGCCUAAAGCUUUCUGAGAGUCUUCCAGAAAACUGAGCAGAGGUGAGUGCAGACUCACCCUGUGGUGCUACAUCAUCCCAUGUUUGAAUAAAAGGAAACCUUUUCCG